CCUACGGGAGGCAGCAGGGGGGAAUAUUGCACAAUGGGGGAAACCCUGAUGCAGCAACGCCGCGUGAGUGAUGAAGGCCUGCGGGGUGUAAAGCUCUGUCUGCAGGGACGAGAAUGACGGUACCUGAGGAGGAAGCCACGGCUAACUACGUGCCAGCAGCCGCGGUAAUACGUAGGUGGCGAGCGUUGUCCGGAGUUACUGGGCGUAAAGGGAGCGGAGGCGGACUUUGACGUGAGAUGUGAAAUACUCGGGCUCAACUUGAGUGCUGCAUUUCAAACUGGAAGUCUAGAGUGCAGGAGAGGAGACUGGACUUCCUUGUGUAGCGGUGACCUGCGUCGAGAUUAGG
rnacentral:rRNA from 1 species